GGGCCUCCCAACCCUUCCCUGAUGCACCCGCACUUUCAUCUACGCUGCUGCUGCUGAAGAGCAUCUGCAGCUGGUUUCCAAAGGAGUCCUGACCCUGGGGCCAGGCUUCCUGUUUCAGGCAAAGCCCACCUAAGGAUGUGUGUCCUGCUUUCCUCAGCACAUCCUUCACUCCCAGGAGCGGCCUGAGCCGAGGUCGCGGCUAGCACAAUCCUCUGCAGGUGCAGCACUUUCCCCGUGUUUUCUAAAGCAUUUUCCCAUUCUGUAAAGCAGUUUCUGGUGACUCCACAGUAGUCCUGAGAGUUUUUCACAGUGGAGGACUUUUCACCCUAUUUUAAAGAGGAGAAAACGCAGGUUUGGCCAACCUGUGGGAGAUAACCCUCGGCUGUUCAAAGAGCUGAGCUGCAGCUGAACGGGAUUUUAGGCCACUGGCCCGCAGUCUUCCAAGUCCUUAAAGGAUUCAACUUGACCAAGAGAACAGGGAUGGAGGGUGAAAGGUCUUCAGAAUCUUCACACAGAGACGAUAAUGGCUUCUGCAAACAAAUGCUUCAACAAUACAUGAACUGAGAACUUCCAGAUGUUCAAACUGGAUUUAGAAAAGGCAGAGGAACCACAGAUCAAAUUGUCAACAUCUGUUGGAUCAUAGAAAAAGCAAGAGAAUUCCAGGAAAACUUCUACUUCUGCUUCACUGACUAUGCUAAAGCCUUUGACUGUGUGGAUCACAACAAACUGUGGAAAAUUCUUCAAGAGAUGGAAAUACCAGACCACCUUACCUGCCUCCUGAGAAACCUGUAUACAGAUCAAGAAGCAACAGUUAGAACUGGACAUGGAACAACAGACUGGUUCCAAAGUGGGAAAGGAGUACAUCAAGGCUGUAUAUUGUCACCCUGCUUAUUUAACUUAUAUUCAGAGUACAUCAUGCGAAAUGCCGAGCUGGAUGAAGCACAAGCUGGGAUCAAGACUGUCGGGAGAAACAGUGACAGAUUUUAUUUUGGGGGGCUCUAAAAUCACUGCAGAUGGUGACUUCAGCCAUGAAAUUAAAGACAUUUGCUCCUUGGAAGAAAAGUUAUGCCAAACCUAGACAGCAUAUUAAAAAGCAGAGACAUUACUUUGCCAACAAAGGUCUGUCUAGUUAAAGCUAUGGUUUUUCCACUAGUCAUGUAUGGAUGGGAGAGUUGGAUCAUAAAGAAGGCUGAGCACCAAAGAAUUGAUGCUUUUGAACUGUGGUGUUGGAGAAGACUCUUGAGAGUCCCUUGGACUGCAAGGCGAUCAAACCAGUCAACACUAAAGAAAGUCAGUCCUGAAUAUUCACUGGAAGGACAGAUGCUGAAGCUGAAGCCUAAAUACUCUGGCCACCUGAUGAGAAGAGCUGACUCCUUAGAAAAGACCAAGAUGCUGAGAAAGACUGAAGGCAGGAGGAGAAGGGGAUGACAGAGGAUGAGAUGAUUGGAUGGCAUCACUGACUCAAUGGACAUAGGUUUGAGCAAGCUCCAGGAGAUGGUGAAGGACAGGGAAGCCUGGCGUGCUGCAGUUCGUGGGGUCGCAAAGAGUUGGACACGACUGAGCAACUGAACAACAACAUAUAUUUUAUGUAUAGUAGUAUAUAUCUGUUAAUCCUAUACUCCUAAUUUAUUCCUCCCCCAC
ensembl:lncRNA